rnacentral:rRNA from 1 species
UACGUAGGUGGCAAGCGUUGUCCGGAAUUAUUGGGCGUAAAGCGCGCGCAGGCAGUCCUUUAAGUCUGAUGUGAAAGCCCACGGCUCAACCGUGGAGGGUCAUUGGAAACUGGGGGACUUGAGUGCAGAAGAGGAAAGCGGAAUUCCACGUGUAGCGGUGAAAUGCGUAGAGAUGUGGAGGAACACCAGUGGCGAAGGCGGCUUUCUGGUCUGUAACUGACGCUGAGGCGCGAAAGCGUGGGGAGCAAACAGG